GUCUUUCAUUAGCGCUCCGGUAGUUUCUCAAAAUGGUAUACUCAAUCUCUUCGGCAUUCUAGCAACUGUUGUGGAUAUUGGCACAUUUGUGCAAGAAAGUGGCCUGAGCAUUGUAAAGGUUAAUCCGGCGAAUCUACAGCACUUUCUGAGGCGAAAUGUGUCCUAUGGGUGGCCUACUGUCGGAGCCAGUAUUCGUAAGCAGUACAGGGAUAUCGGACGAUGCUCACUGGAUCCGAAGAUGCACAGCCCCUCGCUGAGCGUCCGUAAAAAAUGCUACAUACAAGCCGAUCCGAUUGUUCUCCUCGAAAAUCAACCCGCUACCAAGAGCUACCAGAGGGGCUCAAGAAGUAAUGGGUCUUGUGCAACAUUCGGUGCCACUUUUGUUGAUACAAAUCAACUGAACAAUGACGAUACAAGCAUGGAUCAAUGGCACCAGUGCGCUGUUAGUAACUCCUCUAUUUUUGCCGUAACUAACCCGAACAAUGCGCUCGGCAAAAUGUUAAACCUCAGCACCGCCUGGAUUCUGCUGGGACAAUCAAGUACGGAGUGCUACAAGCAUCUCGGUAAUACCUGGCUCUACACUAGAAAUCAGUGUAGUAUGAAAAUGUUACAGGAAACUUACAUAAUGAAAAGGUAAUUACGUUUUAUGGGAAUCGAAUAUUGAAUCUCACAAACAAAGUGCAGUUCCGGUGGAACAUUCUCAUCCAUACUAAGCCCACCCUAAAAUAUCUCUCGAGCAAACACGCAAUAGUACACACCAUCGGAAGUUAUCCAAUACGUAAAAUAAAUCGAAGUCGUUCCAACAAAGACUUUACAGCUUACUACAGAAGUCCUUUCACACCGCACGGAAUCUAUCCACGUUUCUACACCCUUUGCUUUUUAGAUUGUCUGCAGGACAAUCCGACAGCGCACUUCAACUCCUUGCUGAGCGAAUGAGCGGCAACAAUGUGAGGGACCUCAGCAACGUUAUCAUUUCCGGAUCACUUAUAUUGGUUCCGUGGUCACAUUUUAGCGGCAUUCGUUGGAGCUCCUCUACGGGAAAGGGUUCUGGGCGGGUUCUCUCACGUAUUACUUUAUACCCAGCGCCAGGAGAGCUUAUUA